CCUGCAACAAUUCGGCCUUUACAAUAGUAGGUUCGGGGAGACCUACAUGGCUUGCUGAUCCAUAUCUUCAAAAAUCCUCUUUUUUAAGAGGCAUCCACCAAUAAAAACUUAUUGUGUACACCAUCAAAGUUUUAAAGACAUAGUGCGAUGAGGGAUAAGUGGAAGAAGAAACGCAUGCGAAGACUGAAGCGCAAGAGGAGAAAGAUGCGUGCCAGGUCCAAGUAGACAGCUGCGACCGGUAUCUCUAGCUUCUGACUCGCAAAAUUCUCAGCCACCAUCCAUCAAUGGCACACCACACAUACCCUCUACCCAUUCUUGGACAGUGCUGCAUUUCAGGACGCCCACAUAAUUGAAAUCAGAGAACCUUCCACCUAGUGCCCAAAGAGAGGUUUAAUGGCACUUCAAUCCCCAUGGAACAGCUUUUCGGCCCUUUCUCUGUGUGGACAUUGGACUUGUCUCGCACACGCACACUUUGGAAUCGGAUAGGACACGGAAGUACACAUGCAUUGCACAAGAGCGACUGGUUCAGGAUCUCCAGCAUGGUUUUUGGAAGCAAGAGCGACAGAUGCAGUCAUCAGGGAAACGCUGUGGAAUCGACUCUGUGGCAACAUUCCAGCAAUAGUGAUGGAUGUGUCUGAUUGAUUUGCACUCAGAUAAAAAAAAUCAUGAAUGGUCUUGUGGAUUUUGUAAUAAAGGCAGUAUCAACAUGUCAUUCAAAAAA